rnacentral:misc_RNA from 1 species
GACGAAGAACGUAGCGAAAUGCGAUAAGUAAUGUGAAUUGCAGAAUUCAGUGAAUCAUCGAAUCUUUGAACGCAUCUUGCGCUCCUUGGUAUUCUGAGGAGCAUGCCUGUUUGAGUGUCAUUAAAUUCUCAACUACACUGACUUUGAAUUGGUGUGGCUUGGAUUUGGGGGGAAAAUUGUUGUGGGCUUUUUGUAUAGUCUGCUCCCCUGAAAUUGAUUAGCGGUACCUUUGUGGAACUGUCUACAGGUGUGAUAAUUAUCUACAUCUUAGACAUCUGCUGGAAUGCUGCUUUCUAAACCUUACUUGUAUUGACAAUCUUGACCUCAAAUCAGGUAGGACUACCCGCUGAACUUAAGCAUAUCAAUAAGCGGAGGA